AUGAGGCGCUUUCUCACCCAUCUCCACCACCACUCCCACCGCCUCCGCCCAUCCCCACCACUCUCUCGUAUCCCCACAACCAAGAACAACCUCCCUUUCCUUGUCUCCCGUCGCCUCCUCUCCGACGACGCCUCUCCUCCGGCCGCCGCGCCGUCGCCUCCCCCUCCUCCUCCUCCGGCCGCCGCGCCACCGCCUCCCCCUCCGCCGUCAGCCAUCGACGUCCCAAACGAAGAAUUGAAGCGGAGGUUGGAAGCUUACUAUAAGGUGGAGGAUGAGUCGGAGCUAUCGUCUGUGGCUGUGGCUGUUCUCGAGCGGAAUCUUGCAGAUGCACACAGUGAGACCGAUGAUGAACUUAUCGAGGAGCUGCGCGACAGGCCACUUCCUCAGGUCCAUGAUCGGGACUUUGAGGCUGACUUUGACGAGAUGUAUGAGACUGAUGAGGAGCUUACUGACCUGUACAACGCGAGGCAGUAUGUUGAGAAAAAGAUGAAGGACGAUAAGUCAUCUAAUAACAUGAAUGAAACCAAGUGGGAUGAGGAGAUCAAGAAAGCAGCAGAGAAGGGCCAGCUGAGUAACAUGAAGGAGUGUGAGGAUAUCCUCGAGGACAUGCUCCACUGGGACAAGUUACUACCUGAUGAGAUAAAGCAAAAGGUGGAGGCCAAAUUUAACGAGUUGGGGGACAUGUGUGAGAGGGGGGAGCUUGAACCUGAGCAGGCUUAUGAGCUAUUUAAAGAUUUUGAGGAUAAGAUGGUCUCGGAGUGCACAGAACUGAUGGAAGCAGAGCCGCUGACUGUAGAUGAACUUUCUGAGGCAGAUAAUAAGAGCGCCGAGUUGAAUGAUCCACCUGGUGAGGGACCUGUUCUAAGGUGGGAGUCACGCAUUGUCUUUGCUCCUGGUGGUGAUGCAUGGCAUCCCAAAAAUAGGAAAGUUAAACUCAGUGUAACCGUCAAGGAACUGGGACUUUCACGGCAUGCUUUCCGUCGAUUACGUGAGGUUGUUGGAAAGAGGUAUAAUUCAGGAAAAGAUGAGCUCACAAUAAUCAGUGAAAGGUUUGAUCAUCGAGAAGAGAACAGAAAAGAUUGCUUGAGAACACUGUAUGCUCUAGUGGAAGAUGCGAUGAAAGCCGACGUGUUGGCCAAUGCUGCUAGAGAUGCUUAUGUUAAGGGGAGGCUCCAGGCUAACUCUCAGUUCAUGGACCGGCUGAAGAUGAAGACUCAAAAAUUAAGGCAAGCUGCAUAA
rnacentral:rRNA from 1 species